UGGGGAAUUUUGGACAAUGGGCGCAAGCCUGAUCCAGCCAUGCCGCGUGAAGGAUGAAGUAUUUCGGUAUGUAAACUUCGAAAGAAUAGGAAGAAUAAAUGACGGUACUAUUUAUAAGGUCCGGCUAACUACGUGCCAGCAGCCGCGGUAAUACGUAGGGACCAAGCGUUGUUCGGAUUUACUGGGCGUAAAGGGCGCGUAGGCGGCAAUUCAAGUCAUCUGUGAAAUCUCCGGGCUUAACUCGGAACGGUCAGAUGAUACUGCUUUGCUAGAGUGCAGAAGGGGCAAUCGGAAUUCUUGGUGUAGCGGUGAAAUGCGUAGAUAUCAAGAGGAACACCUGAGGUGAAGACGGGUUGCUGGGCUGACACUGACGCUGAGGCGCGAAAGCCAGGGGAGCAAACGGGAUUAGAUACCCGGGUAGUCCCUGAGCGGGCUGGCAAGGCGCAU
rnacentral:rRNA from 1 species